CUAGAAGAUUGGGAAGAAGACAUUGCCGCAAAAAUAUGUAUAAUAGUAAUAUUGUACAAGAAGGAAAAAAAAUUUACCGAUUUUUUGAAGUACUGCUCGAUUUCUUUACGACUUCUGAAACCCUCGAUUUUUUAUCACAAAUUAAUCCUAACAUCUCCAAAUCAACAAUCAAUGUCAUCUAAUGGACAUCCAAGUAUCAAACAACCGCCAAAUCGAGGAUUUCGAUGAUAAAAAAUUCCGCCUAAAUAUUUUUUUUCUCGAUUUGAUGCAAAAAAAAGCCACAAAAGUGACGGAAAAUCUUCGUUUAGGGCCCCCUAAUACCCCCCCUUCCAAACAGUUUCCUUAACAUUUGGAUGGUCAAAAAGACCAUUUUGCCCCUCUCUAAGGGGAUUUCUAUAUUGGCUUUCUGCCUGAUCUACGAGGUGUCUGGGUUGUUCCAUCUUUGUAACAGUGACUCUCUGGUGUUGGACAAGGUGUGCCAACACACAUGGAAUGGGGAUGGCUGGACUGGGUUAUUAAUUGAGAACUAGUUGCAAAGUGAAAGAUGGUUUGAUCUGUGCGUCUUGCCCUGACCUAUGUGAAUUGCAGUUGUCUGAGUUACUCAGUGUUAGUUUGAUCUAUAUUUUUCUUUAGUCACCUUUUGGUUUGAGAUGGAAUGAGGAUAAGUCAACUGAGAAAUGCAUUUAUUGGUUUUUCAGAGAUCGGAGGUGGAAGAGAAGCGAUUUGGUGAUCGUGUUCAUUCACAUUUACUUUUUUUAUUGGUGUUUCCUUUCAUUCAUGAUUUUCUUUAGCUGAUUUGCCUGUAGGAGCCAUUGUAUAUUGGUACAUCACUAGAUAGGAUGCUAUUAUGUUGCUCUUAUUACGGUCUUGACAAUAUGUUGUGUUUGGUUCUUCGUUGUCAGGUCUUUUCCUCUUUAUUCUAUGUUUUAUUAGUUGCCUUGAGAUUUGUGUUUGUAUAGCUGGAUUGUCAUCUUUGGCUUCAACACAUUCUCUUUUCUUUCUCCUCUCUUUUUUCUCUAUGACUGGAACAUGAGGACAGUAUUAGGUGCUGCAAUUGCCAGAAAGCCCCCAUUUGUUAUUUUUAUGGUUUUUUGAUUUUAAUUGGGGCGUAUUUUUGAUAGGGAAACUGAUUGUGUGUGUAAUGUAGAGGCCCCCAAUUUUUUUCCAACAAUUUUUUCUCAGUAGAUCAAAUUAUUGUGUAUUUUGGUGGUCAUUAUUUUUAAGGAUCUUUCUUUUUGGUUUGGCUUUCUCUUCUUCUUGUAUAUUGAGGUUUCUCCCAUUGAUCAAGCUAGUUCGUUCUGGUCCUCUGUGGCCCAAGUGGGAGUGGGUGCAAGCUCAAUAUCUGAUUUGCCUCGCAUUGAUUCAAUAGGAUAUGUAUUGCAUUAGACAAUCUUAGAGAUUUUUUUGGGUUAGACAACAGGACCAAAAGAUGCAUUCUUGUGAGAGAAACUACUAGUACGAGAUUUUCUUGGGUAUUCUGAUUUCUUUAGGUUUAUUGGUCUGACUCAGAUUUGUAAUGCUCUAUUUUUUUGCUUCAAUUUCUUCCAUUCUUGUGCGUAUAUUCAUGCGCUCUUUAAUUUUUUUUGUCAUUUUGGGUAGCAUUUGUGGUUUAUAGGAUGAUGGUUGUGUUAUUAUUUCAGUGUGCUUAAGUAGUGGCUUCAAAGGUCUAUGCUAAUUUAAUCUUUGUAAGAUAAUCAUCUAUCUGUGAGAUGGCCCUUGUCGCGUUAUGCUAGGACCUUCUUUUAUGAUUUAAUUGAGUCUGCCAAUACUCCAGUUUUCUCCCUCCGAUUCUUCUCUGGUAUUGAUUCUUGGUGAUUGCUUGCAGUUUAACUGGUUUUGGUGGAUUUCGUUGAUACUUUCUGACUCUCCUCUAGGUGUGAUGUUGUUUUGUGAAGUUGUUAAAGAGGGGUUCUUUUGUUUGAGUGUUAUGUCGAGCCAUCAUUGGAUUAGUUGAGGUACUCAUCCUCUAUGAAUGAAGAGCAACAUGUUGAAGUGUUAUGUCAAGCCAUGGAUUCCCAGAUGGUUUGUGGUGUUUUGGGAAAAUAAUUACUUCAUCUUGAUGCCAUUUUUCUAUUCUGUGGUAUAAUCGUAUGAUCACUAUCUGCAAUUUUUGGGAUGCUUAAUUAUUGGGAGUCCUCUUCGAUGAUUUCAUGAGGGGAGGAACUUUGCUGGAUGUUUCUGGGGCUCCUGGCAUAAGUUGUUCCUGCAUUUGAUAUCUACCUGGAUUUGAAUCUGGUUUGCUUUAUGGACUCAUUUGGUUUGGAUAUCUGUCAUAAGAUUAUAAUUGGUUGUAUUUUUUUUGGAGGCUUGCAUUCGCCUAACUUGCUUUCAGGGUAUUGGCUUGUUGAAAGUGUUGUGCUAUUAGGUGCCUUGUGAUGCUAUUAUUGGAGGCAAUAGUGAAGGCGUACGUGUGGCUUGUUGCUGCUGGAUUCUCCAUUGUUGAGCACACUGGGGAGGGAGAGUUGCUGGCAAGAUGCAAUGUUCGAUUUGAUGUACAUCUGACCUGAAUCCCGUUAAUGUUAAUCUGUGGGAAGACAUUGUGUUCAACAGUUGUGCUCGAUUUCAUUGGUGCCAUCUCAGGAAAAUGCUGGUGUUGGUGGUUUUUUUUUAAUUUUUUUGGGGGUAUGUUGGUGUCGGUGUAGACGUUAGAUAAGCCAUUGUGGGACAUCCCAAAUUUACUUCUAUAGGAUUUCAAUGUCGUGCGUCUGUGUGGCUUUAUGUAUGUUUCUUUGUCGUAUUGGAAGUUCUUAUUUUUUAUUAUUGAACAUGUAAAUAUUUGAUGGUGAGGUAAUGGUAUGCAUCUGCGUGCAUAAAAAAUUUAAAUUUGA